rnacentral:tRNA from 1 species
GCAUUAAUGGGGUAGUGGUAACCUGGGUCGUUGCCAUGGUGCGGAUAUUUCGACCCGCCGGGGGUUCGAUUCCCUCUUAAUGCA